UACGUAGGGUGCGAGCGUUAGUCGGAAUUACUGGGCGUAAAGGGUGCGCAGGCGGCGUCGCAAGUCAGGCGUGAAAUCCCCGGGCUUAACCUGGGAACUGCACUUGAAACUACGAUGCUGGAGUAUGGCAGAGGGAGGUGGAAUUCCACGUGUAGCGGUGAAAUGCGUAGAGAUGUGGAGGAACACCGAUGGCGAAGGCAGCCUCCUGGGCCAAUACUGACGCUCAUGCACGAAAGCGUGGGGAGCAAACAGG
rnacentral:rRNA from 1 species